rnacentral:lncRNA from 1 species
CUGGUCAUAAUCUCCUCCCCUUUUUUGUGAACCCUAUUUCUAGCCUGUCCCAAUGUUAGCUAGGAGGACUCCAUAGACUUCCUUAAACAUUUUCUGUACUUUGGGUAUCCUCAUUUAAGCUUCAUACAUCAGGGUAUUUCCUACAGAAAACUUCACCCAGCCUAUAUGCUGAGGAAGCCGACUGUUGUCAUUUAAGUGCUUUCAGUUCCAUAAGUCUGCCACCGGCUCUGCUACAAAUUGCCAAGCUUGCUGAC